AUGGAUAGGUGGUGGGAGUACAUUAGGAGAAGGAUUCCACACGUUGUUGUGGUAGAUAAGCUGUAUCAGUCACUGUCUGACAGUGGACAGGCUUUUUGCUGUAGUGUUGGUAGUGUAGGUUAGGACUAGUAACAGGGAUGUUGUAGUGUUAGUGUAUGUUAGGAGUAGUAACAGGGAUGUUGCCGUGGAGGUUAGGACUAGUAACAGGGAUGUUGUAGUGUUAGUGUAGGUUAGGACUAGUAACAGGGAUGUUGUGGUGUUGGUGGAGGUCAGGACUAGUAACAGGGAUGUUGUGGUGUUAGUGUAGGUUAGGACUAGUAACAGGGAUGUUGCAGUGUUGGUGGAGGUUAGGACUAGUAAUAGGGAUAUUGUAGUGUUGGUAACAGGGAUGUUGUAGUGUUGGUGGAGGUUAGGAGUAGUAACAGGGAUGUUGUAGUGUUGGUGGAGGUUAGGACUAGUAACAGGGAUGUUGUAGUGGUGUUUGUAGGUUAGGACUAGUAACAGGGAUGUUGUGGUGUUGGUAGAGGUUAGGACUAGUAACAGGGAUGUUGUAGUGUUGGUAGAGAUUAGGACUAGUCACAGGGAUGUUGUAGUGUUGGUGGAGGUUAGGACUAGUAACAGGGAUGUUGUGGUGUUGGUGGAGGUCAGGACUAGUAACAGGGAUGUUGUAGUGGUGGUGGAGGUCAGGACUAGUAACAGGGACAUUGUAGUAGGGAUGUUGUAGUGUUGGUGGAGGUCAGCUCUAGUAACAGGGAUGUUGUAGUGUUGGUGGAGGUUAGGACUAGUAACAGGGAUGUUGGGGUGUUGGUGGAGGUUAGGACUAGUAACAGGGAUGUUGUAGUGUUGGUGGAGGUCGGGACUAGUAACAGGGAUGUUGUAGUGUUGGUGGAGGUUAGGAGUAGUAACAGGGAUGUUGUAGUAGUGUUGGAGGUCAGGAGUAGUAACAGGGAUGUUGUAGUGUUGGUGGAGGUUAGGAGUAGUAACAGGGAUGUUGUAGUGUUGGUGGAGGUUAGGAGUAGUAACAGGGAUGUUGUAGUGUUGUUGGAGGUCAGGAGUAGUAACAGGGAUGUUGUAGUGUUGGUGGAGGUUAGGAGUAGUAACAGGGAUGUUGUAGUGUUGUUGGAGGUCAGGAGUAGUAACAGGGAUGUUAUAGUGUUGGUGGAGGUUAGGGGUAGUAACAGGGAUGUUGUAGUGUUGGUGUAGGUUGGGACUAGUAACAGGGAUGUUGUAG
ensembl:lncRNA